rnacentral:rRNA from 1 species
AUGGACCUGGACGGCUUCCCACUUGAACACGAGUUUCUGGACGACUACGGGCAAGAGGAAGAAGAUGAGUGCGACAUCGAAGUGGAGCCUUUGUUUGAGGACGAGCUCGCCAACCAAGCCGCCGGGCCGAAGCCGAAGCGCAAGAGCAGGUGCACGAAGGCAUACACGGCAGCCGAGGACAAGCUUCUUUGUGAGUAUUGGAGGGAUAUUGGACAAGACCCAAGAGGCGCCGAACAAAAGCAUUCAACUUUUUGGAUUCGUGUCCACCGGGAGUUUCAUGAGCGCAAGAAGUUUCCUCCUUACCAAAUUGUGAGCAUGCGUGGGUGGGUGUCCAUUUCAAAGCGAUGGAGAGUGAUCCAACAAGAGUGCAACAAGUUUUUUGCCACUCUUGAGAGCAUCAAGGCCCGCCCUGUGAGCAGCAUCGGCAUGCAAGACAUGGUAUGGUAG